rnacentral:rRNA from 1 species
UACGUAGGGAGCAAGCGUUGUCCGGAAUCAUUGGGCGUAAAGCGCGCGUAGGUGGCUUCGUAAGUCCGCUGUGAAAGUCAAAGGCUCAACCUUUGAAAGCCGGUGGAUACUGUGGAGCUAGAGUCCGGAAGAGGCGAGUGGAAUUCCUGGUGUAGCGGUGAAAUGCGCAGAUAUCAGGAAGAACACCUAUGGCGAAGGCAGCUCCUCGUGGGACGGUACUGACGCUGAGACGCGAAAGCGUGGGGAGCGAACAGG